UACAGAGGUCUCAAGCGUUGUUCGGAUUCAUUGGGCGUAAAGGGUGCGUAGGCGGCGCGGUAAGUCGGGUGUGAAAUCUUGGAGCUUAACUCCGAAACUGCAUUCGAUACUGCCGUGCUUGAGGACUGGAGAGGAGACUGGAAUUUACGGUGUAGCGGUGAAAUGCGUAGAUAUCAAGUGGAACACCAGUGGCGAAGGCGAGUCCCUGGACAACUCCUGACACUGAGGCACGAAAGCUAGGGGAGCAAACGGG
rnacentral:rRNA from 1 species